rnacentral:tRNA from 4 species
GCCCCUGUGACGUAAUUGGAAAACGUGGCAAGCUCAAACCUUGCAUUUACAGGUUCAAAUCCUGUCAGGGGUA